rnacentral:rRNA from 1 species
UACGUAGGGUGCAAGCGUUGUCCGGAAUUAUUGGGCGUAAAGAGCUCGUAGGCGGUUUGUCGCGUCUGCUGUGAAAAUCCAGGGCUUAACCCUGGACCCGCAGUGGGUACGGGCAGACUAGAGUGCGGUAGGGGAGAUCGGAAUUCCUGGUGUAGCGGUGAAAUGCGCAGAUAUCAGGAGGAACACCGGUGGCGAAGGCGGAUCUCUGGGCCGUAACUGACGCUGAGGAGCGAAAGCAUGGGGAGCGAACAGG